AGCUCCUCUGCCCGCACCUUGUACAGGCGCCUUCCUCUCUCUCAGGUCCGAGUCUAACCACAGCUCCCCACCUGCUGGUCCCCACGGGGGCGGAGAUGCGGUCUCCCAGUGCCUGGCUCUGUGACUUCAAAGCAAGCGUCCACAUCCUGGUGUCUCCUGUCCUCUCCAUGAAAAGUGAUCCCAGGGUCAGGGUGUGCCUUGUUGCCACUGCAGGGACUGGGCGUCCAGACUGGGAUCACAGGGGCACACUGGGAUCAGCACCGGCCUCUCCGCUCACAAGCUGCAUGACCUCGAGCAGCUUCGCCCGUCUGUGCAGCUGUAAAAUGAGGAUGGUGGCUGUACCUGAUCUGGAGUUUUCUGAGAGGUGAGGAUGUCAAGACUUGGAGUAGGUGACAGUUGGCCUUGGGCUUCGGUGGCCAGCCCAUGACUACAAAAGCCCAAGAAGCCAGUGAGUCCCCUGGCUCCCUCCACCAAGUGGCCUCUGGGUGAUGGGGAAGCUUGUCCUCUGCUUUGUCACACACAAAACUCUAAAAGUCAGGAUCCCAAUGCAUCGGCCUGGAGAGCCCGUGCAGGAUGGACACUCUGCUGGGAGAUGUGGGAAAGGGUCUGCAAGUGGCCCCUCCCCUGUCAUCUGAAUCUUUCGUUUGGUGAAUAGGAGGAUUUAUGUGGAAUAUGGUUUUUCUGACAACAUCGACGUUCCUUCCCGUGCCUUCUGAGUCUCUUUCUCUUAAUUUGACUCUGGUCUCUGCUCUUUGCUGGACUCAGUGAGUAUCUCAUGCUCAGUUUUGGUGGAGGUCACGGAUUUAACUCUUAGAGACACCGUGGGGCAAGACUCAAGCCCAUGAAGCCAUGAGAUGGCAAACCCCACAUGUGAAGGCACCACCUAGUAGUGAACAUUCUCCAGGGAGGCAACCUUGGUGUUAAUUCAUUUAUUAAGAAUCAUGAGGCCAGGUGUAGUGGCUCACGCCUGUAAUCCCAGAGCUCUGGGAGGCUGAAGCGGGUGGAUCACAAGGUCCGGAAUUCAAGACCAACCUGGCCAACAUGGUGAAACCCCCUUCUCUACUAAAAAUACAAAAAUUAGCCAGGCAUGGUGGCGAGAGUCUGUAGUCCCAGGUGCUCGGAAGGAAGGCUGAGGCGUGAAUCUGGGAGGUGGAGGCAGUGAGCCGAGAUCACGCUACUGCACUCCAGCUGGGCCAACAGAGCGAGACUCCAUCUCAAAAAAAAAAAAAAAGAAUCAUGGCAUCCAGCACCCUUCUAGGUACUUCACAAAACCAUGCAGUUAUUUUGUCCUGACCACCCCUGAGGCAGGUGCUGUUAUCAUUCCUGGCCUUCAGAUGCAGAGAGUGAAGCCUGGAGGGAGAGACUCUGCAUCCCAGCCUCCGACUCUCACUCCCAGAAAAUGGGGAGCUGGAGCCAGCCCAGGGCUGUGCAGCUCCUGAACCCAGCACCUCAGGUGCCCCGCUCCACUGCCUCGCCAUCACCUGCAAGGGCUUUAGGCACCCAGCACCCAGCACCCAGCACCCAGGCAGGCGGCGCAGGGAGCAGGCCUCUUUACCAGUUUAGUUGCCACAUCCCCAAAAAGCAUGGAGUCUGGAGCAGAGAUCGUUCCAGCGACAGUGAGUUUGGGAAAUGCUGAGAUCGACUCUUGGCGGGGUGUGGAGGUACCAGGCUGCUCUGCCUGGGGAGGAAGAGGUGGAACUCUCUGGAACAUCCCAGUUACUCAGGAAGGCUGAGGCAGGAGAAUCACUUGAACCCAAGAGGUGGAGGUUGUGGUGAGCUGAGAUCGUGCCACUGCACUUCAGCCUGGGCAACAAGAGUGAAACUCGGUCUCAAAAAAAAAAAAAAAAAAAAAAAAAAAAAAAGAAGGGAGGAGUGUUAUUAAAAGAUCCUGUUCUAAGGACAAAGACCCCCACUUGGGCAAAAGAAAUUAUCAGAACCACAGCUGGAAAACUCGCAGAGUCUGGACAGGCCACCUCCACCCUCGUUUCCUCCCCUAAGUACCCCUCUACAGACAUCUGCUGCCUAAGAACACGUGAACACAACGUGGACCUACGGCCCUGUUAUUCCAGCUUGAAAAAAAAAAGCACACCAGGUUGACUCGGUUGGGCUCUGCACCCCAAAUGCCAUAGCAGCCUCCCGGGGAGGCGGGGAGUGCGGUGUUGGCAACUCGCCCUGGCUGGACUUUCUGCCGGCUUGCCCUCUUUAGCGCUGGUCAGGCUCUGUGGUGGAUGUGUCGAAAGUUAGAGGAACACUGAGUCAUCCUCCUCCCUUUCAGCUGCGGCAUAUUUCUGGGAAUGCGAAGCACAUUUGAGCGACGUGACAUUCCUUACCUCGCCGCAGCAAGGCAGCUGCCCACUUCCUUUCGAGUCAUGUUGCAUCAUCUUUCAGAACAGGACUAAACAAAUAGGCUUGAUGCAUGGUUUUAGGAAAGAAAGGCAAGCGUGCACGUUUGAGCCCCGCCCUCUGCGUGUGCUAGGGCACGAUUCUCCUGCCCCCGAGGGACAGAGGGCACACACUGUUGUGGUUCCUUUCCUGCCUUUCCAUAGAUAAGAACCAUGUAUAUGUGUUCGAUGCGCAUCUCACAAUCACAAAAGAGGCAUGUGACAUUCAAUAUAGGUGUGUUUCCUAACACAUGUGUCAGAGGCAUCUAUGGCUACAUCAGUUCCAGUGAUGGGCAUUGCGGUUUUUAAAAUUCUUUGUCCUCGGCAUCUUGGAAUAAGUCACAGGAAAGGUAAAUGAUCUAUGUAAACCCUUUGGCCCGCGGAUCAACUUUUAUACAUCUAAAUUCGAGAAAAACGUUAUUUAUUAGCAGGAGAGUGAACAAGCAUUUCAAGCUUGCAGAGGGAAGCUGGGGGUGCAGAGAGGAUGCAAAAGUGAACAGAACGGGCAUCUGCUCUCAAGAGGCUGCAGGGCCAUGGUGGAGACAGAGCCCUGUGGAGCAGGAUGCGUGGGCAGUGGACAGUGCACCAAGUAUUUGCUCAGGGGAGCCGGACCCGGAGGGGACCCGGAAAUGCAAACUCCAGGAGGGAUGUCUGAGCCCAGCGGGGGCUGCUGGGAUAAUGAGAAACAGUCUCCGUGCAGGUGGAGGGCACUCACAGAGAGGGGUGGGAAGAUCUGAGCACAGCUCUGUCCCAGGCUGGAAACUGACUCUGUAUCCAGAGCCACGGGGCCUGUGGAAGCCGUAGGGGGCUGGGACACCUCCAGGUGUUCAAUGGUAGGGACUGUGAGCCCUCUAAGUCUUGAGCAGAGAGUGACCUGCUCCAGAUAUGCCUUGGGAAAGUCAUCCUGGUGACACACUGAAAUUUGUCCUGGGAAAGAUUGAAGGUGGGGACACGUUAGGAGGUCAUGUCAGUGCUGCAAACAGGGCUGGAAUGACAGCCAGGGCUGCAGUGAGCGAGACGGGGGUCACACAGCAGUGGUGCAAUUGCAGUUGUGCGUGUGGAGCACUGGCCCUGUGAUCACACGGUGCUGCACACUCACUAGAGCCGUCUCAUUUCGCCAUCAGAGCCGCAGCCCCACGUGACAGGUCUGCUAUCGCUCCAUCUUACAGAUGAAGAAACUGAGGCUCAGGGAAGAGAGAUAGCUGCUCACCGUCACACACUGUAAAUUCUUUGACACAGAAAUUUGGCCGGGGUGCUGAAUAGAACACUGAAGGACAAGGAAGAAUUUAUCCAUGGAGGGGGUAGGGUGAGCGCAAAUUCUAGAAAAAGGGAACCUCAUUGUCUGCAAAAGCCUCAUGGCAGGACAGUCCGUGACCGAUCCCAGCCCAGUUUCUCUGCAGACUCCUGCGCUUGUCAAUUAUACAGGUAACUGGGGCACCCUCACCCCUACCCCACACCACCGCUCAGACUUCCGGAAUCAGAGUCCACAGAGGUGGGGUCAAGGCAUCUGAAUUUUCAUUUUAUCCAUCCAGUGCCUUGGGUUAUUCCCAUGACCAGUAAGUUUGGGAAAUACUGGCUGCUGCAGGAAGCAUCGGGAACUGCUCUGGGAAAGCUGGCCGGAGCUGAAAGGAAACGGUCUCGGAUCGCAUAUGGAAUUUAAACUUAAUACCCAAGCCUGUUGCUUCUUUUCUUUCUAGGGGAGAUGUCACAAAUUCUGCGCCAGAAUCUCACAAGUCACAAAUAACUUAUGUAACCAAACACCACCUGUUCCCCAAUAACCUAUGGAAA